GCUCAGAGUGAACGCUGGCGGUAGGCCUAACACAUGCAAGUCGAACGGCAGCACAGAGGAGCUUGCUCCUUGGGUGGCGAGUGGCGGACGGGUGAGGAAUACAUCGGAAUCUACUUUUUCGUGGGGGAUAACGUAGGGAAACUUACGCUAAUACCGCAUACGACCUACGGGUGAAAGCAGGGGACCUUCGGGCCUUGCGCGAUUGAAUGAGCCGAUGUCGGAUUAGCUAGUUGGCGGGGUAAAGGCCCACCAAGGCGACGAUCCGUAGCUGGUCUGAGAGGAUGAUCAGCCACACUGGAACUGAGACACGGUCCAGACUCCUACGGGAGGCAGCAGUGGGGAAUAUUGGACAAUGGGCGCAAGCCUGAUCCAGCCAUACCGCGUGGGUGAAGAAGGCCUUCGGGUUGUAAAGCCCUUUUGUUGGGAAAGAAAUCCAGCCGGCUAAUACCUGGUUGGGAUGACGGUACCCAAAGAAUAAGCACCGGCUAACUUCGUGCCAGCAGC
rnacentral:rRNA from 1 species